GAAAGCAAAAGAAAAGAUAAAACAAGGACAAAAAAAAAAGAACAAAAAAAAAAGAACAAAUCACAUAAGAGGAACAACCCUCAAGAUCUAAUGAUCUAUAGCAUUGCAAAUAACUAAAAGAAGCUCUAAAUUGAAUUUUAUAUUGGCUUCUUUACAGAAUUACUCUUUGGAUUGUAGCCAUGGAGAGAGAGAUUCUUCAUUAAAUUAGUCGUUUUCUUGAUCCUCAAAUCAUCAUCAGGUUUCCUAUCUCCUGCUUUUGUAUGCUUCAGAAAAUCGCCGUUUUUGUCUAUCUCCAUUCGCAGACUCGCAGGCUUAUUGCUCGUUUUAGCGUGUGGAAUCUUCUCUCGGUUUUCAUAGAAAUUGAAGUCAUCU
rnacentral:misc_RNA from 1 species